rnacentral:tRNA from 1 species
ACUUUUGUGGCGGAAUUGGUAGACGCAAUAGAUUCAAAAUCUAUUUUUUGUGGGUUCAAUUCCCAUCAAAAGUA